rnacentral:tRNA from 1 species
GCCCACGUGGUGAAAUGGCAGACACACGGGACUUAAAAUCCCGAGGAGCUCAAACUCCGUGCCGGUUCGAGUCCGGCCGUGGGCA